UACAGAGGGCGCGAGCGUUGUCCGGAAUCACUGGGCGUAAAGCGCGCGCAGGCGGUUCUUUAAGUCAGAGGUGAAAGCCCAGAGCUCAACUCUGGAAUGGCCUUUGAGACUAGAGAACUAGGGUACGGGAGAGGUGAGUGGAAUUCCGAGUGUAGAGGUGAAAUUCGUAGAUAUUCGGAAGAACACCAGUGGCGAAGGCGGCUCACUGGCCCGUUACCGACGCUCAGGCGCGACAGCGUGGGGAGCAAACAGG
rnacentral:rRNA from 1 species